UCUGUUUAAAUGAGGCAGAAUGGGUCUUGUUGUUUAUAAUCAAGAAGCUGACCCGUUCACACAUUCCAAUUUGGGUCAGCAGGGAUUGGCCACCUAGAGAGCUGGCUGGUGAUGAAAUUAACCUCCACGGGAGCAGGAUUCUGCUCGCUCGAGCAUCGCUGUAUCUCCAGCCGAGCACAGAUGUAAGAGGUGUUCUGUGAAGUUCAGGAAAUGAUAACAUGCUUAGCCCAGAUGGCCUCGGAAAUGUGCCAGCUCAGCCCUGCAGGCAGCCAUGUUCACUGUGGACGCUUGAGAGGCCUUCUGCUUGCUGUCCUGACACUGGCAUUAGGACUACUGGCGAGAACUGAUGUUGUCUGCAGUAUGUCAGGCACUGCAGUCCAUGCUUGGCAUAAAUUAACUCAUUUUAGCCUCAUGACAGCCCUCUUUGGUGGAUACCAACAUCACCUCCAUUUCAAAGACGAGGAAAGGAGGCACAGAGAGGCUUGGUAACUUCUCCAAGGCCACAGCCGGUGGGUGGUAGAGCUGGGGCCCGAAUGUAGUCUGGCCUCGGGCCCACACCCUGAGCGCUUGUUCUGCACGUAUUUCCUCCUGACUGGGGUGAGGCCGGCAAGGCGCCGAGGGCACCACCCUUAAGGAGGUGCUCGCUCUCAGGUUCUUGUCUCAUCCUAGUCCGGGCCCUACUUCACAAUGACCGACGAGGCAGUAUUGUUUUAUCAACUGCCUUUUACAGAAGAGGAGCUAGAGAAAUCCUGUGAGGAGAGCCAGGCUUGGGCCCCAGGGGUGCCUUUCUCCAAAGCCCCUGGCUUGGCCCACAACCACGCUUCUGGUGUGCGCACACCCUUUCUGACUCACAGGCCUCCUCGCCCUUCCACAAAAGCGGCUGGGUCUGGUAUUGGUGAGAUGGUAGCUGAACCAGGAUUGUCCUCUGAGAGACUUCGCUUCCGUGUUUAAAGAACAGAAAUCAAAUCCCCGUUGGCAGAACCAAAGAGGAGAGCGAGCCCCCGCUCUUGGCGACACCUGCAGAGUACAGAGCGUGUCUUGCCUCUUCCCUGACACGAGUGGGCUGGGCUGGAGAACAUUGUCCAUUCCCCGCUGACUCCCUUUUCUCUUCCUCUGCGGGAGGCUGGUACUUCAGGCAAAUGCCUGUGGCUGUGACCUCCGCUCCUCAUUUCUCUCAGCCAGAGGCCGAGAUGGGACAAAACAUCUACACAGUGCACCCGCUUCCUUCAGGGCCGGGUGCCAGGCUGCUGUGCCCAGAAUUUCUGAAAGAUAGUCCUCUGGGGGGGGGGGUGAAUUUUGUCCCCAGUGCCAGGCGGGAGUUCCUUCAGAAGCUGUACAGUGGCCUCCUGGAGGUCAGGGUCGGGCUGAGAGUCGGUGCUUUAGGCAUCAGCGGAUGGACGGGGACUCACAGAGAGCCGGAUGGAGGAGGCAAAAGGCUCUGGAGGUCUCCCGGAGCUCAGCUCCCAGGGGG
rnacentral:lncRNA from 1 species